GAUACAAUACCACCAGAACCUGAUCAUUAUGAUGAAUUUGUCUGAUUAAUCUGGAAAGUAGUGCAGCAGAACAUACCUAGAGGCUGCAGAACCAAAUAUAUUUAGGGAUUGACUAGUGAUAUCAAGCAAAGUUAUGAUGAGUAUGUCAACUUAUAAGACCAAGACCUGUUUGGUCAAGACACAAUUGAAAUGGGAGAGUCAGUUCUGUCAACACACACAAAACGCUGGUGGAAUGCAGCAGGCCAGGCAGCAUCUAUAAGGAGAAGCACUGUCGACGUUUCGGGCCGAGACCCUUCGUCAGGACUAACUGAAAGGAAGAAGAUUGAAAAUCUGGCUGAGUGGUGCCACAACAACAACCUCUUACUCACUGUCUGCAAGACCAAGGAGCUGAUUAUUGACUUCAGGAGAAAGAAACCAGAGGUCCGCCAGCUAGUCCUCAUUGGAGGAUCAGAGAUGGAGAGGGUCAGGAACUACAAAUUCCUCAGUGUUACCAUUUCAGAGGACCUGUCCUGGGCUCAGCACACAAGGGCAAUUACAAAGAAAGCCCAGCAGCAUCUCUACUUUCUUCAGAGUUUGCAGAGAUUCAGCAUGACAUCUAAAACUUUGGCAAAAUUCUAUAAAUAUGUAGUGGAGAGUAUAUUGACUGGCUCAUCACAGCCUAAUAUGGAAAUACUAAUGCCACAAAAGGUCCAAGAGAUAGGAGAGGUAGAAAGGUGGAGAAAUGAAGGGUGUAGUGUGACACAACGUGGGUAGGAAUGGCGACCUACCUGGCAAGAAUGGCCUCCUGCAGAAGCUGCAUCCGAUCCCAUACAGUGGAGUUGUGCAGGUGCUGCUGUCUCACAGCCCCUGUACAACAGGACCAGCAUCAACCUUGGGUACCAUCUGUGUGGAGCUAGUACUUUCUACUUGUGAUCACGUAGGAUUCCUCCCACAUCCCAGUGAUGGGUAGGUGUCAGGACAGUCAACGUGCAGGAGAACUACAGGGAAGUAAGUGGAAAUGGGACUGACAGGAUUGCUGAGAGAGCUGGCGUAGAUCUGAUGGUAUGAAUGGCCACCUUCCAUAUCAGGAGGAAAUAUGGAAAUAAGAUAAAAUUAUCGGCCAUUAACCCAAUCGUCAAGCUGUUUUCAGGCUGUCAUAAUUGACCUUCCUUCCCCAUCCAAUAGACCAUAUGACGGAGCAGAAUUAGGCCAUUCAGCCCAGUGAAUCUGCUUCAUUAUUCCAUCAUGGCUGAUUUGUUAUCCCUCUUAACCUCGUUCUAAUGUCUUCUCCCCAUAAUCUUUGAUACCCUUACGAAACUGCUGCUUUAAAUAUACCCAAUGACUUGGUCUCCACAGACCUCUGUUGCAAAUUCCACAGAUUCACUGCUCUUUAGUGCAAGAAA